GCCUCGCUAGCUCAAUCGGUAGAGCGUGAGACUCUUAUGUAUGAUACAUGGCGGUUUAUCUCAAGGUUGCGGGUUCGACCCCCGCGUGGGGCU